CCCAGACUCCUACGGGAGGCAGCAGUGGGGAAUAUUGCACAAUGGGGGAAACCCUGAUGCAGCAACGCCGCGUGAGUGAAGAAGUCAUUCGUGAUGUAAAGCUCUAUCAGCAGGGAAGAAAAUGACGGUACCUGAGUAAGAAGCCCCGGCUAACUACGUGCCAGCAGCCGCGGUAAUACGUAGGUGGCAAGCGUUAUCCGGAUUUAUUGGGUGUAAAGGGCGUGUAGGCGGGAAUGCAAGUCAGAUGUGAAAACUAUGGGCUCAACCCAUAGCCUGCAUUUGAAACUGUAUUUCUUGAGUGCUGGAGAGGCAAGCGGAAUUCCGUGUGUAGCGGUGAAAUGCGUAGAUAUACGGAGGAGCACCAGUGGCGAAGGCGGCCUGCUGGACUGCAACUGACGUUGAGGCCCGAAAGCGUGGGGAGCAAACAGGAUUAGAUACCCCUGUA
rnacentral:rRNA from 1 species